rnacentral:rRNA from 1 species
CCUACGGGAGGCAGCAGUGAGGAAUAUUGGUCAAUGGGCGUAAGCCUGAACCAGCCAAGUCGCGUGAGGGAUGAAGGUUCUAUGGAUCGUAAACCUCUUUUAUAAGGGAAUAAAGUGCGGGACGUGUCCCGUUCUGUAUGUACCUUAUGAAUACGGAUCGGCUAACUCCGUGCCAGCAGCCGCGGUAAUACGGAGGAUCCGAGCGUUAUCCGGAUUUAUUGGGUUUAAAGGGUGCGUAGGCGGCCUUUUAAGUCAGCGGUUCAAUUCUGUGGCUCAACCAUAGAAUUGCCGUUGAUACUGGGGGGCUUGAGUAGGUUUGAGGCAGGCGGAAUGCGUGGUGUAGCGGUGAAAUGCUUAGAUAGCACGCAGAACCCCGAUUGCGAAGGCAGCCUGCCAAGCCAUGACUGACGCUGAUGCACGAAAGCGUGGGGAUCAAACAGGAUUAGAUACCCCAGUAGUC